rnacentral:lncRNA from 1 species
UAUUUUAGAAUGACUUUAGAGUCACAGAAAAGUUGCAGAGUUCCCAUACAUUCUUCAUCCAGAUCACCCCAGAGAUGUGAUUACCCAAACUGGAAGAGGCUAGGAAAGAGUAUCAGGUCGUCAGGAACGGGGAUGACAGUGUUGUGAAUCACCAGCUGUAAAUGGCAAUGGUGACUAGCUCAGACCAAGGUGACUAUGUACAAAUAAGCAGAGAACAGGAUCCUGAACCGCUGAACAAGGUUGUCCAUUCUGACAGAAGUUGGUCCAGUGGGUUUCUUCCUUGAGCACAGACAUGAUUCUGAGAAACACAGCAACAGCAACUAUGAAGUGAGGAGCAAUGAGGACACGGCCAAAGGACUCCUGAGAGGAAGCCCUGCCUUCACUGAGCUGAGCUGUUGACACAAUACUGCUGUGUUAGCCACGGGUUCCAGGACUCAGGCU